rnacentral:rRNA from 1 species
AGCAGUAGCCACGGGAAUACGAAGGGGGCUAGCGUUGCUCGGAAUUACUGGGCGUAAAGGGAGCGUAGGCGGAUCGUUAAGUUGGGGGUGGAAGCCCGGGGCUCAACCUCGGAACUGCCUUCAAUACUGGCGAUCUUGAGUAUGAGAGAGGUGUGUGGAACUCCGAGUGUAGAGGUGAAAUUCGUAGAUAUUCGGAAGAACACCAGUGGCGAAGGCGACACACUGGCUCAUUACUGACGCUGAGGCUCGAAAGCGUGGGGAGCAAACAGGAUUAGAUACCCGCGUAGUCCCUGUCUCUUAUAC